GCCGGAAGAACUGAUUCAGCCUGCUUGUGAGACCGAAGCCAUGUGAAAGCAUCUUCAUUCAGAACAGGGGCGCCGAAUCAUGCGUCCACGCCUGUUCUUUACUUUCUUUUGACUGGACGGCCGUGGUGUUGCCGAAAUGGUAAAGCUGAACGUGUGCUAUAGGUUUCAUGAUGUAUAGAGUGGGAGAGAACAACAAGCAUGUUAGUCAUCGCCAUCAGCUGACCUGCCAAUCUAGUUCCCAUUAC
rnacentral:lncRNA from 1 species